rnacentral:rRNA from 1 species
GAGCGGCGGACGGGUGAGUAACGCGUGGGUAACCUGCCCUGUACACACGGAUAACAUACCGAAAGGUAUGCUAAUACGGGAUAACAUAAGAAAUUCGCAUGUUUUUCUUAUCAAAGCUCCGGCGGUACAGGAUGGACCCGCGUCUGAUUAGCUAGUUGGUGAGGUAACGGCUCACCAAGGCGACGAUCAGUAGCCGACCUGAGAGGGUGAUCGGCCACAUUGGAACUGAGACACGGUCCAAACUCCUACGGGAGGCAGCAGUGGGGAAUAUUGCACAAUGGGCGAAAGCCUGAUGCAGCAACGCCGCGUGAGCGAUGAAGGCCUUCGGGUCGUAAAGCUCUGUCCUCAAGGAAGAUAAUGACGGUACUUGAGGAGGAAGCCCCGGCUAACUACGUGCCAGCAGCCGCGGUAAUACGUAGGGGGCUAGCGUUAUCCGGAUUUACUGGGCGUAAAGGGUGCGUAGGCGGUCUUUUAAGUCAGGAGUGAAAGGCUACGGCUCAACCGUAGUAAGCUCUUGAAACUGGAGGACUUGAGUGCAGGAGAGGAGAGUGGAAUUCCUAGUGUAGCGGUGAAAUGCGUAGAUAUUAGGAGGAACACCAGUAGCGAAGGCGGCUCUCUGGACUGUAACUGACGCUGAGGCACGAAAGCGUGGGGAGCAAACAGGAUUAGAUAUCCUGGUAGUCCACGCCGUAAACGAUGAGUACUAGGUGUCGGGGGUUAC